rnacentral:rRNA from 1 species
UGGGGAAUCUUGGACAAUGGGGGCAACCCUGAUCCAGCCAUGCCGCGUGAGUGAUGAAGGCCUUAGGGUCGUAAAGCUCUUUCGCCUGUGAAGAUAAUGACGGUAGCAGGUAAAGAAACCCCGGCUAACUCCGUGCCAGCAGCCGCGGUAAUACGGAGGGGGUUAGCGUUGUUCGGAAUUACUGGGCGUAAAGCGCACGUAGGCGGACCAGAAAGUUGGGGGUGAAAUCCCGGGGGCUCAACCCCGGAACUGCCUCCAAAACUAUUGGUCUAGAGUUCGAGAGAGGUGAGUGGAAUUCCAAGUGUAGAGGUGAAAUUCGUAGAUAAUUUGGAGGAACACCAGUGGCGAAGGCGGCUCACUGGCUCGAUACUGACGCUGAGGUGCGAAAGUGUGGGGAGCAAACAGGAUUAGAUACCCUGGUAGUCCACACCGUAAAACGAUGAAUGCCAGUCGUCGGGUAGCAUG